rnacentral:rRNA from 1 species
CUAAUCGCAUCUUUCCCUUCGGGGACAGAAGUGACAGGUGGUGCAUGGUUGUCGUCAGCUCGUGUCGUGAGAUGUUGGGUUAAGUCCCGCAACGAGCGCAACCCUUGCCUUUAUUGCCAGCAUUAAGUUGGGCACUCUAGAGGGACUGCCAGGAUAACCUGGAGGAAGGUGGGGAUGACGUCAAAUCAUCAUGCCCCUUAUGCUUAGGGCUACACACGUGCUACAAUGGGUGGUACAGAGGGCAGCCAAGUCGUGAGGCCNGAGCUAAUCCCUUAAAGCCAUUCUCAGUUCGGAUUGUAGGCUGAAACUCGCCUACAUGAAGCUGGAGUUACUAGUAAUCGCAGAUCAGAAUGCUGCGGUGAAUGCGUUCCCGGGUCUUGUACACACCG